GCGUGAGAAGUGUUGUGGUGGCAUGCCUUCCUGCCCAGGAGGAGGCGAGGGUUCGAUUCCCUCCGCGCGCU
rnacentral:tRNA from 1 species